AGAGUUUGAUCCUGGCUCAGGAUGAACGCUAGCUACAGGCUUAACACAUGCAAGUCGAGGGGCAUCAGUUUGGUUUGCUUGCAAACCAAAGCUGGCGACCGGCGCACGGGUGAGUAACACGUAUCCAACCUGCCUCAUACUCGGGGAUAGCCUUUCGAAAGAAAGAUUAAUAUCCGAUAGCAUAUAUUUCCCGCAUGGGUUUUAUAUUAAAGAAAUUCGGUAUGAGAUGGGGAUGCGUUCCAUUAGUUUGUUGGCGGGGUAACGGCCCACCAAGACUACGAUGGAUAGGGGUUCUGAGAGGAAGGUCCCCCACAUUGGAACUGAGACACGGUCCAAACUCCUACGGGAGGGGGCA
rnacentral:rRNA from 1 species